rnacentral:tRNA from 1 species
GCCGAUGUGGCUCAAUGGCAGAGCAGCUCAUUCGUAAUGAGCAGGUUGUCGGUUCGAUUCCGACCAUCGGCUCCA